AUCGCCGUCACUUCCACAAACGUCUACGACCGCACCUAAACAUUUUUGCAUGUUUACAAUUCUAAUUUUAAACAGCCAAUCUGGUUUUUGGUAACAAUUACAAUUAAGCGUCGAUUGGCUGUUUAAAAUUAGAAUUGUAGGUGCGGUCGUAGAUGUUUGUAGGAGUGGCGACGAU